rnacentral:rRNA from 1 species
AUUGAACGCUGGCGGCAGGCCUAACACAUGCAAGUAGAACGAGUGGCGGACGGGUGAGUAAUGUCUGGGAAACUGCCUGAUGGAGGGGGCUAACUACUGGAAACGGUAGCUAAUACCGCAUCCCAUCAGAUGUGCCCAGAUGGGAUUCUCUAGUAGGUGGGGUAAAGGCUCACCUAGGAGACGAUCCCUAGCUGGUCUGAGAGGCUGACCAGCCACACUGGAACUUAUACACGGUCCAGAAUCCUACGGGAGGAAGCAGUGGGGAAUAUUGCACAAUGGGCGCAAGCCUGAUACAGCCAGGCCGCGUGUAUGAAGAAGGCCUACGGAUUGUAAAGUACUUUAAGCGAGGAGGCGUUACUCGCAGAAGAAGCACCGGCUAACUCCGUGCCAGCAGCCGCGGGAAUAC